rnacentral:lncRNA from 1 species
UGUGUAUCUAUAAAAUUUUGUCUUAAGAAGAAAAGUAGAAUGUGAAUUCUGAGCAUUCUAUUCCAGACAGGAAAAUUUGACUAGCUUAGGGAAGAGAGAGAUAGCCUAAACCAAGGUUAUGAACAAAUAAGAUAAAAAUAGAACAAAUAUCUGGGCAAUCAGACAUUCUUCUUUUCUGUGUAUUCAAGGAAAUAUGUAGGAGUUGUCUUGUUCUUCCUCUCCCACUAGGCUGUAAACCCCAAAGAGCACUGACUUCAUCUUAAAUUUGUAUUCUCCUCAGAAACCGGCCAGUAUGAAGCAUUCUCUACACAAUAUACUACUAAAUUUUCUCCGGCGCUGAGUGCCUGGAUCCAGCCCAGGAGGAGAGUGGGAAGAACAUGUUGUGUUAUACAGCCUUUCAACAAAAUAGCCCCAGUAAAAGGGAACCAUGAAUCAUGUGGCCAAGUAAUAACAAUUCACAUACCCCAGGAAUUCUAGAGAGAGAAGAGGAACGCUUAUACAACAUCAACUUCUUCUGGAGAAUUAUGGCCCCCAAGAGCUGAAGAAACUGUGAGGGAUUAAAACCAUAACAGGAGAAGAGAAAGACCUGAACUUUAUUCUCUAAUACAGUAAAGUAUUUAAAGAGGGCAAGUCUGAUGGGAAGAGUUGCAUCUCUAGCAACCCUAAGCUCAUUUUCCUUCCAAAGGAAUUUAAGCUCUUAGCAUAAUACCAUAAACCUAGAUGCCUGUGUAGACUUCUAAAGUGAAAAUGGGGAUUAAAGGUAAUGUCAGGCGUUUGACCUUUUAAAAACAUUAAAUUAAUUUCCUUUUUGAGGGAAGUCCAAACCACAGGGUGGUGCUAAAAGUCUGGAGGACCAUACAGAGUUCUAGAGAAUGGUAAGAUUCAUAGAAAGGGAAAAUUUUUACUUUCUUGGUUAAAGAUGACUAUGAAUCAUUUAUUCCUUUUCUGAUAGCUAAAAUAAAGGCUGAAACCUUAUGGGGGUGUGGUUUCCCUUUCAAAUACC